CCUACGGGGGGCAGCAGUGAGGAAUAUUGGUCAAUGGGCGAGAGCCUGAACCAGCCAAGUCGCGUGAGGGAGUACUGCCCUAUGGGUUGUAAACCUCUUUUGUCGGGGAGCAAAAGCCGGACGUGUCCGGCUGUGAGAGUACCCGAAGAAAAAGCAUCGGCUAACUCCGGGCCAGCAGCCGCGGUAAUACGGAGGAUGCGAGCGUUAUCCGGAUUUAUUGGGGUUAAAGGGUGCGCAGGCGGAUUUUUAAGUCAGCGGUCAAAUCGUGGGGCUCAACCCCAUCCAGCCGUUGAAACUGGGGAUCUAGAGUGUGCGAGAGGUAUGCGGAAUGCGUGGUGUAGCGGUGAAAUGCAUAGAUAUCACGCAGAACCCCGAUUGCGAAGGCAGCAUACCAGUGCACAACUGACGCUCAGGCACGAAAGCGUGGGUAUCGAACAGGAUUAGAUACCCGUGUAGUC
rnacentral:rRNA from 1 species